AGGGGAGUGAAAAAGAACCUGAAACCGUGUACGUACAAGCAGUGGGAGCACCCUUUGGGGUGUGACUGCGUACCUUUUGUAUAAUGGGUCAGCGACUUAUAUUCUGUAGCAAGGUUAACCGAAUAGGGGAGCCGGAGGGAAACCGAGUCUUAAUUGGGCGUUAAGUUGCAGGGUAUAGACCCGAAACCCGGUGAUCUAGCCAUGGGCAGGUUGAAGGUUGGGUAACACUAACUGGAGGACCGAACCGACUAAUGUUGAAAAAUUAGCGGAUGACCUGUGGCUGGGGGUGAAAGGCCAAUCAAACCGGGAGAUAGCUGGUUCUCCCCGAAAGCUAUUUAGGUAGCGCCUCGUGAAUUCAUCUCCGGGGGUAGAGCACUGUUUCGGCUAGGGGGCCAUCCCGGCUUACCAACCCGAUGCAAACUGCGAAUACCGGAGAAUGUUAUCACGGGAGACACACGGCGGGUGCUAACGUCCGUCGUGAAGAGGGAAACAACCCAGACCGCCAGCUAAGGUCCCAAAGUCAUGGUUAAGUGGGAAACGAUGUGGGAAGGCCCAGACAGCCAGGAUGUUGGCUUAGAAGCAGCCAUCAUUUAAAGAAAGCGUAAUAGCUCACUGGUCGAGUCGGCCUGCGCGGAAGAUGUAACGGGGCUAAACUAUGCACCGAAGCUGCGGCAGCGACACUAUGUGUUGUUGGGUAGGGGAGCGUUCUGUAAGCCUGUGAAGGUGUGUCGUGAGGCAUGCUGGAGGUAUCAGAAGUGCGAAUGCUGACAUAAGUAACGAUAAAGCGGGUGAAAAGCCCGCUCGCCGGAAGACCAAGGGUUCCUGUCCAACGUUAAUCGGGGCAGGGUGAGUCGACCCCUAAGGCGAGGCCGAAAGGCGUAGUCGAUGGGAAACGGGUUAAUAUUCCCGUACUUGGUGUUACUGCGAAGGGGGGACGGAGAAGGCUAUGUUGGCCGGGCGACGGUUGUCCCGGUUUAAGCGUGUAGGUGUGUGUUCCAGGUAAAUCCGGUUCACUUUAACACUGAGGCGUGACGACGAGGCACUACGGUGCUGAAGCAACAAAUGCCCUGCUUCCAGGAAAAGCCUCUAAGCAUCAGGUAACAUCAAAUCGUACCCCAAACCGACACAGGUGGUCAGGUAGAGAAUACCAAGGCGCUUGAGAGAACUCGGGUGAAGGAACUAGGCAAAAUGGUGCCGUAACUUCGGGAGAAGGCACGCUGACACGUAGGUGAAGUGAUUUACUCAUGGAGCUGAAGUCAGUCGAAGAUACCAGCUGGCUGCAACUGUUUAUUAAAAACACAGCACUGUGCAAACACGAAAGUGGACGUAUACGGUGUGACGCCUGCCCGGUGCCGGAAGGUUAAUUGAUGGGGUCAGCGCAAGCGAAGCUCCUGAUCGAAGCCCCGGUAAACGGCGGCCGUAACUAUAACGGUCCUAAGGUAGCGAAAUUCCUUGUCGGGUAAGUUCCGACCUGCACGAAUGGCGUAAUGAUGGCCAGGCUGUCUCCACCCGAGACUCAGUGAAAUUGAACUCGCUGUGAAGAUGCAGUGUACCCGCGGCAAGACGGAAAGACCCCGUGAACCUUUACUAUAGCUUGACACUGAACAUUGAGCCUUGAUGUGUAGGAUAGGUGGGAGGCUUUGAAGUGUGGACGCCAGUCUGCAUGGAGCCGACCUUGAAAUACCACCCUUUAAUGUUUGAUGUUCUAACGUGGACCCGUGAUCCGGGUUGCGGACAGUGUCUGGUGGGUAGUUUGACUGGGGCGGUCUCCUCCUAAAGAGUAACGGAGGAGCACGAAGGUUGGCUAAUCCUGGUCGGACAUCAGGAGGUUAGUGCAAUGGCAUAAGCCAGCUUGACUGCGAGCGUGACGGCGCGAGCAGGUGCGAAAGCAGGUCAUAGUGAUCCGGUGGUUCUGAAUGGAAGGGCCAUCGCUCAACGGAUAAAAGGUACUCCGGGGAUAACAGGCUGAUACCGCCCAAGAGUUCAUAUCGACGGCGGUGUUUGGCACCUCGAUGUCGGCUCAUCACAUCCUGGGGCUGAAGUAGGUCCCAAGGGUAUGGCUGUUCGCCAUUUAAAGUGGUACGCGAGCUGGGUUUAGAACGUCGUGAGACAGUUCGGUCCCUAUCUGCCGUGGGCGCUGGAGAACUGAGGGGGGCUGCUCCUAGUACGAGAGGACCGGAGUGGACGCAUCACUGGUGUUCGGGUUGUCAUGCCAAUGGCACUGCCCGGUAGCUAAAUGCGGAAGAGAUAAGUGCUGAAAGCAUCUAAGCACGAAACUUGCCCCGAG
rnacentral:rRNA from 1 species